GGGGAGAAGACUUAGAUUCCUAGGCCUCACUGAGUCACUUAGAGUGUGCACUGGUGACCCACACAUUACUCAUAUGUCUGCUAGUUUGCUAAUCUGGGGUUGGCUCAGCAGGGUGGUUUUCUGCCAUUGUGGAUCUCAUGGAUGCCUGGAGGCAGGCUGGGUGUUGCUCAUCUAAAGUGGCCUCAAUGUAGACAACUGGUGUUCUGUAGUCUGGCCGUUGAAUGACCCCAAGGCUGAUGUGUUGAAGGUCUGGCUUUGAGUCUGGUGCUAUUGGAACCUCUUAGGAGGGCCACAGGCUGUGCCAUUUCUGACCUCUGCACUCUGUACAGAUCCAUGUGGUUGUGAACACUCCCUCCAAGGUUUAAAAAUAACUCACAAGGACUGGCAAAGGGGAAGAAAAGAGAAUCUUAUCAUCCCUAAAUGAAUACAUGGCCCAACAAAUUCACAAGACCAAGGUAACAAGAUCCAACUACAAAGAAAUAUGCUAAGUUUGAGAGAAACACACUAGGAGUUAAGAAGAAACUUGAAGUUGCUUUCUGAGGGCCGCACUUACCUCUGCCAGUAGCUGAAGAAGUGUGUCAGUUCAUGCCAUGGUGCCCCCACUUUGCAACCUCAAAGCAGGUCACUGUAAGGAUUCCUUCUGCCUGACACACGGAGAGUGUGAGUUGGCUUUAGGACAGUCCCGGGUCUGCGCACUGCCACACUGCACCAAAUGCCUGCUGAAGGAUGGAAGUAAGAAAGUGUGGUCCUCUUACCCUCAGGGAC
ensembl:lncRNA